CUUGAGACCUGUAACUUGGAAUGGAGUGCAUUGCUACUCAGUUGAAAAAUUUCUCUUCAGGGAGAGUUCAGCUCUCUUGGCAGCAUCCUGAGGUUGGUGGUGUUUGCCACCUUCUCCAGGCUGAGCCCAUGCUCUUCCCUGCCAACAAAGCACGGCCUGUGGAUCUCACCAACAUCACCUGUAUUGAUCUGAUACUCCAGAGCUGCCCUGUAAUCCCCAAAUCCCACUGA
rnacentral:lncRNA from 1 species